UUGUGAUCUGGCUUUGGCCUCAAGAGCAAAGCAAAUACCUGCACAGCAUUUCAAUUCCUUUGUUGGAACAGAUCCCAUCAAUUUUUUAUCACCGGCUAAAUUUACGGGUAUGAUUUUAAGCAUGGUGAGGUGGGAACUUCCGAGGACGGCUGCUUCUAGACGAGGAAAUGGGUGAUCUUUGAAAACAUCGCACGUACUAGCAGACGCUUAAUGAUAAUAAUAAAAAAUUAAAAAAAAAAAA
rnacentral:misc_RNA from 1 species